GCUGAGGAGGUCACAGGAAACAAAGUAGAAAAGUCCCCUGGUCUGUCACUUAAGGAGUCUGCUUCGCUUCUAGCAGGACAAAGGAAGGAGAAAAGAGGAAGCUCUGCUCCUUUCUUCCAUGAUUUAUGUCUCCUUUUCAGUCAAGUCUCUCCAUUCUCUGAAAAAAAAAUAAAAGGAGAAAAACCACCCCUAUGUUGGGCAGGAGGCUCACUACUGGACAAUGCAGCCCCCAACAGAAUGAUUUUUUUCCCUUCUGUCCAACACUGAUCAAGGAAACUGUGGUGGUUUGAAUCAAACUGGCUCCCACAGGCCCAUAGAGAGUGGCACUUUUAGGAGGUGUGGCCUUGCUGGAAUAGGUGUGACUACGUUGGGGUGUGAGGUCUCAGAUGUUCACUUCCUGCUGCCUGUGGAUCAAGAUGUAGAACUCUCAGCUCCUUCACCAGCACCUCGUCUUCCUGCACUCCACCAUAUUUCUCACCGUGAUGAUGAUAGACUGAACCUCUACUGAAACUGUAAGCCAGCCUCAAUUCAAUGUUCUCCUUUAUAAGAGUUGCCUUGCUCAUGGUGUCUCUUCACAGCAGUAAAAACCCUAAAACAGAGAUUUUAAAAUAAUUUUUGCUAGGUCUUUUAAAGAGGAGUAAAGACAGCUGCUAAAAAGCUUAUGAAUAGAAAAGGUAAAAAUUUUAAAGGAAUAAAUAGAUUCCAGCUACUGGAGGUAGCUCAAAAGGUGUUUAACAACAGAGAGAACCAAUUGAGAGACAAGACCUUUUGCAUAAACUGAAAGCCACCAUCACCUUCUCUGAUGAUGAGAUGCAGUUAAACUUAUACAUAACCCACAAAAUUUUGGUGUCCUGCCCUCAGUCAGAAGAGCAAUUUCUAGCUAAUCAAAAUAUACAGUUGUACUCUCUCUCACAUUGACAACAAAGAUUUCCAGGGAUAUAGGCAGAAACCAACCCGCUAGGACUGGCCCAAUUCCAAGUUCCUAUAAUUGUUCAACUAAUAGUUCAGCCACCCGCAUCCAGACUCAACAAUACCCAAUGAUGCUGGAAACACAAAGAGAAACUGCAGUCCACACUACCUGGUUUAGAGAGCCCAGCAUCCUGGGGCCCUGUCAGUCACCCUAGAACACCCCUCUCCUGCCUGUGAAGAAACCUGGGACCUUUGCUUCUCUCGAGUCUGAUUCUUCCAGAGGAGCAGGUGUGCUCUGCCUGGCACCUGACAGCUGUGCUCUUCAGCCUCCCAUGGGCAGAGGUGAGCCAACCCACUUGUGCUUUCACAGUGCCAGGGCCAGAGGGAGGUUACAGCAGGCAACUUACCUGGACCAGGUUGCCUGAGAGAUUUAAAAAUUCUCCAAUCCUGGUUGAUGAGACACUACAUGCUGACCUCCUGCCCUUCCAUCAAAGGUGUCCUGGGACCAUACUCUUAUACUAUAUCCUCUUACCAUGCCUCCUCCUAGCCUCUAGAACUAAAAAGUCAUAAAGGGGCCACUGAGGGACCGCUGCAAGAGUUACAGACCCAGCUUUGUAGACCCAGAGGUUCCCUAUCUUGGCUACCAGCUGUGGGGAGGCAAAAGGAGCCUGUCUCGGAGGACUGCUGCCAUCCUUUGUGGCAUCCCUAGCCUGUAUAGGCCAAGCAGACCUUGAACAUUCGCCAGGCAGGCUGGACAGAUCUUGGCUAAGCAAACCUUGAAUAUUUGCCAUAACGCACAGGAUGGAUAUACAGACCUUGAAAGAUAGGCUUCAUCGGCCUGAACAGAGACACCUGCCUUGGCUGCAGCUUCGGGUUUUGAUGUACUGGAAAUAAUGAGCUGGCAAGAAAUGGAAACUUAACAGAUUAGCUGCUGUGCUGUUGCUACCUCGAAUUACUGUCCUGGGGAUGGGUUUUGUGGGGUUUCCCCUUAUAUAUGCUGUGCUGAAUAUUAAACUUUGAUCAGAA